rnacentral:rRNA from 1 species
AGUGAAAGAUGGUUUUUGCUAUCACUUAUAGAUGGACCCGCGCCGUAUUAGCUAGUUGGUAAGGUUUUGGCUUACCAAGGCGACGAUAAGUAGCCGACUCGAGAGGGUGAUCGGCCACACUGGAACUGAGACACGGUCCAGACUCCUACGGGAGGCAGCAGUAGGGAAUCUUCCGCAAUGGGCGAAAGCCUGACGGAGCAACGCCGCGUGAGUGAUGAAGGUCUUCGGAUCGUAAAACUCUGUUAUUAGGGAAGAACAUACGUGUAAGUAACUAUGCACGUCUUGACGGUACCUAAUCAGAAAGCCACGGCUAACUACGUGCCAGCAGCCGCGGUAAUACGUAGGUGGCAAGCGUUAUCCGGAAUUAUUGGGCGUAAAGCGCGCGUAGGCGGUUUUUUAAGUCUGAUGUGAAAGCCCACGGCUCAACCGUGGAGGGUCAUUGGAAACUGGAAAACUUGAGUGCAGAAGAGGAAAGUGGAAUUCCAUGUGUAGCGGUGAAAUGCGCAGAGAUAUGGAGGAACACCAGUGGCGAAGGCGACUUUCUGGUCUGUAACUGACGCUGAUGUGCGAAAGCGUGGGGAUCAAACAGGAUUAGAUACCCUGGUAGUCCACGCCGUAAACGAUGAGUGCUAAGUGUUAGGGGGUUUCCGCCCCUUAGUGCUGCAGCUAACGCAUUAAGC